UCUAGUAUGAAGAGAUGAAACUGUUAAAAGAAAUGCAGGAUCAUUCUGGUUAAUAUCUAUUUUCCUACUCUAGUAUUUUAUAUUUGCGUAGAAUUGUUUAAGUAAAAGUGAAUACUUUAUGGAUUCAUGGUAAAGACUCUUGAUUCAUAUUUCUUGUGAUCUUUGAAUGGUGAAUUUUUACUAUUUUAAAUUGAUUUAUUACGGGGACAAGGAAGACACUAAAUUUUGAGCUAUGGCAUACUAGUGUUGUUCCAUUGGUUUCCUUGACUCAGGUUGGAAGCCUCAUGCACUAUUUUUCAUUAUGUAAGUUGGAAGAAGAUGAUAUUGGUUUGUAUGAUUGUUAUAUGCUUUAGAAUAUGGAAUAAAAAUACUAAUAAUUUGGCUAUGCUAAGGUAAUAGGCGGUGAACGUAAAAAAAGCUGAAAAUUGUUGAGCAAUAGUUCGAUUCUACAUUGCAUUCUUGACAUCAUUUCAUGCACCAACUUUUUUUUUAGACCGUGGGAGUUCAGGCCAGCUUACGCACAUUUCGACUAAUCUCACGGGGCCCUAAAGUUUAUAGUCAAGUACUCAUCUCAAUGGCCCUGAGGAGACUCGAACUGGUGAUCGUUGGAGAACAAACCCAAGGAUUGACCACUAAACUAUCGGUCAGGGUUAAACUUAGGAAAUUGAUGUAGACAUUUCUUAAUGAAACAAAUACGUUCUGCAUUUUUUUUUAUGACGGGGAAACUCGCAGCCGCUAUCCUUUAGGUGCGCACUAGAUAAACCCUUGAGCUAAUGCAAUAGUUUGCAAAUCAUGCCAACCAAAUAAAUAGCACAAGGCAAGCCUGGUGCGACGGGCUUGACUGAAAAAGGAGAGAAUCGAACUCAUGACUAAAGGUCUCUAUGCUCACCUAUUCCACCAACUUGAUCACCUCAUAAGGGGCAUUUUAUGUACCAAUUAUAUGGUAAAGUUACUAACUUCGUUGUACAACCCAUAACCCCAUUGUUAAUAGAGAAUAAUUAUAAUGAAGAAGAUGAAGUUAUUGAGGACUAAGAAUACAACUUUGAUGAGAAGCACAACUUUGGUGAGAAUUAGC
rnacentral:lncRNA from 1 species